GACGAACGCUGGCGGCGUGCUUAACACAUGCAAGUCGAACGGAAAGGCCCUGCUUUUGUGGGGUGCUCGAGUGGCGAACGGGUGAGUAACACGUGAGUAACCUGCCCUUGACUUUGGGAUAACUUCAGGAAACUGGGGCUAAUACCGGAUAGGAGCUCCUGCUGCAUGGUGGGGGUUGGAAAGUUUCGGCGGUUGGGGAUGGACUCGCGGCUUAUCAGCUUGUUGGUGGGGUAGUGGCUUACCAAGGCUUUGACGGGUAGCCGGCCUGAGAGGGUGACCGGCGACAAGACUACUGCGGGACGGAGCAGACUCGUACAGUGGGCAGCGGGGGGGAGUAUGGUACAGUGAGCGGGAGUCUGAUGCGGCGGCGUUCGGGUCGUAAAGACGGCCUGCUGGGUGUAAACAGCUUUCGCUUGAGACGCAGCGUGAGUGACGGUAACGAAUGAAGAAGCACCGGCUAACUACGUG
rnacentral:rRNA from 1 species